ACAUGAAUCAGGGUAUGCAGAAUAGCUAAGUAGAGCAACAAGGAAACAUGGUAUCACAUACAGAUAGACUAUACUCCUACACAUGAUACUAAGCAUGGAAACGUCUGAGUAGAGUAUAAUCAAACAACGUGGGUGUAAUGUAAACGAUAGAGGUGCAAAGCUCAACAUAUAAUAUAUGCAUGGAUAAUAACAAAAGAGAAAGGGUAAGAAACCAUCACCGAGCGUGCACCACUGUACCAACGUCGGAUCGAAGUACCCACCUGUACAACUGUCGCGCCUGUCUCCUGACUGCAAAAGAAUGUCAACCGGACCUAAGGAGGGUCCACUGGGUUAGUGUCUAACCCACAGCUAAGAAACCCUAAAAGCAUAACCCACAAACAAUCCAACAGAAAUCAGUUUCCCAAACCGAUCGCCGUAAUACGCCGAAAAUCCCGUAAUCGCACCGAGACUCUGCCGGGACCCACGGACUGUCCCGGAACUCACCGACUCGUACUACAAGUCACCCGCUGCCACUAAAUACAAAUUUACGUGUGACUUGGCAGCAAAGACCUUAACUCACUCCAAAACGAUUAUCAUCGGAUAAUCGUUCCGAACCGGAUUCCCGAAAGUGUCUAUUUCGACAUCGGAACCCACCGUCGCUCACCCG
rnacentral:lncRNA from 1 species